GUGAGGAAUAUUGGUCAAUGGGCGGGAGCCUGAACCAGCCAAGUCGCGUGAAGGAAGAAGGAUCUAUGGUUCGUAAACUUCUUUUGCAGGGGAAUAAAGUGCAGGACGUGUCCUGUUUUGUAUGUACCCUGAGAAUAAGGAUCGGCUAACUCCGUGCCAGCAGCCGCGGUAAUACGGAGGAUCCGAGCGUUAUCCGGAUUUAUUGGGUUUAAAGGGUGCGUAGGUGGUUUGAUAAGUCAGCGGUGAAAGUUUGCAGCUUAACUGUAAAAAUGCCGUUGAAACUGUCGGACUUGAGUGUAAAUAAGGUAGGCGGAAUGCGUGGUGUAGCGGUGAAAUGCAUAGAUAUCACGCAGAACUCCGAUUGCGAAGGCAGCUUACUAAGCUACAACUGACACUGAAGCACGAAAGCGUGGGGAUCAAACAGGAUUAGAAACCCGGGUAGUCC
rnacentral:rRNA from 1 species